GGUCCUGUAGCUCAGUGGUUAGAGCAGCCCCCUCAUAAGGGGUUGGUCAUUGGUUCAAAACCAAUCAGGAUCACCA
rnacentral:tRNA from 2 species